ensembl:snRNA U6 U6 spliceosomal RNA
GUACACAGUGUAGCAGCAUAUAUACUAUAAUGAGAACAAUACACAGAUUAGCAUGGCCCCCAUGCAAGGAUGACAUGAAAGUUCAUGAAGCGUUUCUUGUUGUU